UGUGCGUGCUGCUGCUGCUGCCGCCACUGCUGCUGCUGCUGUCGAUGCUCCUUCCCGCUGCCUUCUCCGCGGCCGCUGGCAAUGGUACCGCUGGCAGCGUGUAUUAGCGCCGCGGCAAGCUCUGCUAGACUUCAGCGGCUCAGCUCCUCUUCGGCGGAAAGCUGUGAGCAGCCGCUCGGUGCUCUCAGCGCGCCUGUUUGUUUGCCGCUGCCGCACGAGAGCGGAGUCGUAUCUUCAUCUAUUGGGGUGGUGUCUGUCGGUCUUUGGCUGUGGUCAUCCUGUGUCUCUGUGCCUGUGCCAGCAGUAGCAGCAGCUCGCGAUCCUUCGCGCCGCCACUCGUCAAGUGGUCCUUCCGCUCUCUUCACAAAGGACAAGCUCUGCUCUAGUCAGGCCGGGACUCUGCCGCUGACGACUCUAGCUGCCUGCUGGGCGGCCCUCACUGGACCUGCUGGUUGUUGGCGCCGCCGCGCUGUAGUGAGCCAUCAGCAGCAGUAGCACUCAGAGAAGAAGUCCUAUCUCGACCCUCAUGCACCCCUAAGGAGCCACCGCUACCCUGUUGGCCUGGGUAGGCCUUGACAGAAACGGCAGCCAAAUAAUAAAGCGCAACAAAUGAGAACAGCGCACACGUUGUUGCGCAAACUCGAUGAAUCUGCGAUAUAAAAUCAACAAAACAAAUAUUCAAUUAAAAUGCAGUACGUCAUGAAGUUUUGCUGAAAGCAGUCAGAGUGAACGUUGGGAAAAGAGUAUCGACAGCGCGGGAUAAAGCACGACACGUAGUAUUCAUACAUGGAGGAAUAUGAAAAAA